ensembl:miRNA mir19b microRNA mir-19b
GUCAGUUUUGCUGGUUUGCAUCCAGCUUUGUUACCGCGCUGUGCAAAUCCAUGCAAAACUGAC